rnacentral:lncRNA from 1 species
ACAGCAUGCAUGCAUUUAAAUUUGAAAUUCAAAUUUGAACAGUAAGCACUUUACUAUAAUGUGUUCAGAACAUAAUACCUUUAUGUGGGUAGUCGAUCUCCGCAAUCUGAUCACCAUCGAGAGAGUCUGAUCAUCAUGAUACAGCCACAUAGUAUGUCUGGCCUCUGUGAAUCAUCCACAUGAAGCUUCCGGUCUGAUCGACUCCUCACGAGUGCUAGCUCGUUGUAGAGCCCUUUCGACGGCUGAUGCUGAUCGAACUCCUUUGAUUGAUAUCUGUCGAUUCUUUGGAUACUUUGGAUCAUCAGCAGACAUGCUUGAGAGGAUGUUGAAGAUCUUCCUAAAAUUUGGUGGGCUCACGACACUC